rnacentral:tRNA from 1 species
GCCGGGAUGGUGGAAUUGGUAGACAUAGCGGACUUAAAAUCCGCUUCUCUGAACAAGAGAGUGCCGGUUCGAGUCCGGCUCCCGGCA